AACAGGGAUUGCCCUAGUAACGGCGAGUGAAGCGGCAACAGCUCAAAUUUGAAAUCUGGCUUCGGCCCGAGUUGUAAUUUGCAGAGGAUGUUUCUGGCGCGGUGCCUUCCGAGUUCCCUGGAACGGGACGCCACAGAGGGUGAGAGCCCCGUAUGGUUGGACACUAAGCCUGUGUGAAACUCCUUCGACGAGUCGAGUAGUUUGGGAAUGCUGCUCAAAAUGGGAGGUAAAUCUCUUCUAAAGCUAAAUACCGGCCAGAGACCGAUAGCGCACAAGUAGAGUGAUCGAAAGAUGAAAAGCACCUUGAAAAGGGGGUUAAACAGUACGUGAAAUUGUUGAAAGGGAAGCGCUUGUGACCAGACUUGCGCCGGGCGGUUCAUCCGGGGUUCUCCCCGGUGCACUCCGCCCGGUUCAGGCCAGCAUCGGUUCUUGUUGGGGGAUAAGAACGACAGGAACGUGGCCCUCCCUCGGGAGGGUGUUAUAGCCUGUCGUACGAUACCCUGACGGGGACCGAGGUUCGCGCUCCGCAAGGAUGCUGG
rnacentral:rRNA from 1 species